CCAGCCUUCAGUGACUUGAGAUCUGGCUGACAGUGUCCCAACCAAAGAGUUUCCAAGGCACGGAAGGACAUGGCAGCACAGCAGGAGACAUUGUAAACAGCGUCCUGCUGUUGUUCCAGUGGCCUCUGAAAGAACUGGAGCAAAAGGGUUGAUUUGAGGAUAAAGCAGGGAGGAGAUGCAAACCACAGUGAGCUCAUUGGAUGAAAAUGUAACAAAUACAUAGAUCAAUUAAUGUCAUGCCAACCAUGGAAGACAAACUCCUAAAUGUUGAGCUGAAAAGCAUCCCAGCUCUCAAAGGUUGACCUUUACUAAUCCUUUACAUCCAAGAUCAAACAAUAAACCUCAGUGCCUCCAUUUACCAAAGACUAAAUAAGAAAGUGUGAAGCCACAACUGAAGCUAUAUUAAUCUUCAAGAGGAAGAAAGCAAAUGCAAGCAAAUGUACAGCAGUCUCAUCACCAGAUGGGUGUGAAGGAUGGACACUCCACGAAAUUACACCCCAGAGGAGGGUUGAUAUCUGGUUGUGGCCUUCUCCUGCUGCAGGGUGUAUGUGAAUGCCUCCCCAGUAGCACCCACAUUUGGUGUCACCAAGCCUGGUGAUGCCACUGAUGAACAGUGCAUUUCUAAGAAUGUAUACUCAGAAGUUAAUCUGAGUUAAAUGAGACUUAUCCUCAGGUAAGCGUGCCUAGGACUGCAGCCAUGCUUUAAUGGAUUUUUGAUUGUCUAACCCUCUGCAUUCUGAAUACACUCAGAAGUCUCAGUGUGUUCAGUGGGACUUACGUCCUGAUAAAUUUUCACAGGAUUAUGGCACAAAGCUGAAACCUAUAUACACAAUUGCUGCAUCCCCUUGUGCUCUUAUUUGGAUGUUUGUUCUGUUUAUUGUAGUGGUCUCACCCUGUGAGGUAGGUCUGUCUGUGACAGAGGCUGAUGAGUCCAUGGUCAAGCAGUGAGUUUUAUGGCUUAAGAUGCACUAAAAUUUUUAUUUUUCAAGUCCUAGUGCAAGACUCUAAUCACCACACUGCACAUAUAAGAUGAUAAAGCCAUCAUAGGGUGAUUUUAUGUUUUGAUAUGAUGAUUGAUAAGUUGAAUGCUCUGUUUGGUCACAGUCACUGGCAAGGAUGCACCUCCACCACUUCCUAUACUUGAUGUCACAAUAAAAUGUGAUGGAUGCUAUAAAAAGGAUGCGUGGUACACUUUCUUAGUUUCUAUGAGCUACUAAACUGAGUUGAGGAUAAAGCCAGUCACUUACUGAACUUCAUUCAUUCUUGAAAGCAUCAACAAAGCCUUUGCAUAACAAACUUCCCAGUAUAACAUUCCCAUUUUACAGAUGGAGAAACUGAAUUUAUCUUCUGGUUGUCUAUUUUUGAUACUCCUCCCCCACAGUCAUGUCUUUAGGAGUGCUUUGAUUUGCUGCUGUUGGUGGUUGACAAAAGUUUAUUUUCCUGUCCUAAAGGCUUCUGCAGAACAAGCUGCAGUCAGAGGCAAGGGAACAACUCUGUCCAUUUUAUUUCAGGUCAAUUGGCAACUGUAGUUUAAAUCUCAGUGGUAGUACAAGGUAAGGUUUCCAUUUCUCCCUUGUGCUACAUUUUCCCCCAGAGAUGCAAAGAAACACCCUCCUUCCCACCCCUCUGCCCUGC